rnacentral:rRNA from 1 species
AGUGAACGCUGGCGGUAGGCCUAACACAUGCAAGUCGAACGGCAGCACAGUAAGAGCUUGCUCUUACGGGUGGCGAGUGGCGGACGGGUGAGGAAUACAUCGGAAUCUACUUUUUCGUGGGGGAUAACGUAGGGAAACUUACGCUAAUACCGCAUACGACCUACGGGUGAAAGCAGGGGAUCUUCGGACCUUGCGCGAUUGAAUGAGCCGAUGUCGGAUUAGCUAGUUGGCGGGGUAAAGGCCCACCAAGGCGACGAUCCGUAGCUGGUCUGAGAGGAUGAUCAGCCACACUGGAACUGAGACACGGUCCAGACUCCUACGGGAGGCAGCAGUGGGGAAUAUUGGACAAUGGGCGCAAGCCUGAUCCAGCCAUACCGCGUGGGUGAAGAAGGCCUACGGGUUGUAAAGUCCUUUUGUUGGGAAAGAAAAGCAGCAGGUUAAUACCCCGCCGUUCUGACGGUACCCAAAGAAUAAGCACCGGCUAACUUCGUG